AGAAACUAACAAGGAUUCCCCUAGUAACUGCGAGUGAAGCGGGAAGAGCUCAAAUUUAAAAUCUGGCGGUCUCUGGCCGUCCGAGUUGUAACCUGGAGGAGGCUUUUCCGUGUCGGACCGUGUACAAGUCUCCUGGAAUGGAGCGUCAUAGAGGGUGAGAAUCCCGUCCAUGACACGGACGCCCGAUGCUUUGUGAUAGUCUCCCGAAGAGUCGCGUUGUUUGGGAAUGCAGCGCAAAAUGGGUGGUAAAUUCCAUCUAAAGCUAAAUAUUGGCGAGAGACCGAUAGCGAACAAGUACCGUGAGGGAAAGAUGAAAAGCACUUUGGAAAGAGAGUUAAACAGUACGUGAAAUUGUUGAAAGGGAAACGCUUGAAGUCAGUCGCGUCCCGGGGAACUCAGCCUGGCCUCGGCCUGGUGUACUUUCCUCGGGACGGGUCAACAUCAGUUUCGGGCGGUGGAUAAAGGCGAGGGGAAUGUAGCGUUGUUUCGGCGACGUGUUAUAGCCCCUCGUUGUAUACACCGUCGGGGACUGAGGACCGCAGCACGCCCUUGUGGCCGGGGGUUCGCCUCACGUACCGUGCUUAGGAUGUUGGCAUAAUGGCUUUAAG
rnacentral:rRNA from 1 species